rnacentral:lncRNA from 1 species
GGUCGGAUGCAAUUAUAAAUAGAGUAUAGUUAGAGACGCCUACAGUUAAAAGUAAAGUGAUUAUAAUUAUAUACUUCUUGGUUAGGGAUGCAAACGGGACGAAUCUGGGGGCCGGAGGGUUCUCCAUCUUCCGCUCUAUUUCUUGUCGGGACGGAACGGAUUUGGGAUGGGUUAUUUUUUAUUUUAUUUUUAGCUCCUAUUUACCGCCCUAUUCAAGGCGAAUCGGGAUGAGAACGAAUUUUUGACGAAUUUUUAACGAAUCGUGGCGGAUUGAAAGAAGAAAAGGGUCUCCCAGCUUCCGCUCUAUUUACUUGGCGGAUCGAGGCGGAUAUGGGACAAGUUAUAUUUUUUUAUAUUUUUUGUUCCCACUUACUGCCUUAUUCGGGGCGGAUUGAGACGGGAGCUCC